GGCUUUAGAUAUUUUUUUCAACACACCACAAACUCUCUUUCUAUAAUCUAUAUCUCUCUCACGUUUCCAAGAAAAAAAAAUGCUCAGAACUUCUCAUCACCUUUUUCUUUCAUUUCUUCUCCUACAAAAAAGAACAUUCAUCACCAUACAACAACAACACAAACCCCCUCCCUCCACACAACCACAUCACACAAACAUGUAAACUUCAUCACAUACACUUAUCCCCAACCUCACGUCUUCAUCAAACACUCGUCAACCGCACCGCUCGUAUCACCACAAAAACGCAACAUACCCAUUUCCGUCGUAAACCUCUACGACACCACGCACAUCUGUCGUUCACAACAACCUUGCUGCCACCGUUGUUGUUUUCAAUUUGGUAUACCUUUCUCUAAAUCCUUUCCGUAAUGUGUUUGUUGUCUACUAAAUUUAUUUUCAGACCUAAGAGUGUUUUAAUUUAUGUUUGUUAUCUUACUUCUUGCAUUUUUUAUCUUUAAGUGGUCUGUUAGAUUUAGUUUGUUGUGUGUUGUUUAUAUAAGUUGUUUUUUUAUAGUUUUGUUUGUCAUGAAAAUGAUGAAAGAAAAAGAGGAUUUGAGAACAAGAGCAGUGUUUUCUUCAUGCAAAGCAAAACUAGUUUUGGAGUUUCUUGUUUUAAAAAUAAAAAGAAAGUAUAUAUUAAGUUUAAAACUCCAACAUAAUUCAUGUUUUUAUAUAUAUACGUUACUUUUAUAAAAAAAAAAUUGGGGAAUGGGGGACGGUUCCCCUGAUGUGGCAUUUUUUUGUUAUUUAUUUUUUUAUUUUUUUAUUUUUAAAAUAUAAUUAUUUUGUUAUAUUAUAGUUGUUCUUAGACCUAAUUAAAUACUGCUAUAUACACCUUUGUUAAAACCUUACAUUUCUCUCCUGUGUUUAUUAUUAUUAUUAUUAUUAUUAUUAUUUUAGCAUUAUUACUAUUAUUAUUAUUAUGAAUUACUAUCAUCAUUAUCAUUAUAGUGAUUAUUAUUAUUUAUCAUUUAUUAUUAUUAUUAUUAAUUUUGUUCUGUCAUUUUUUUUGUUAUUAUUAUUUUUAUUUUUUUGUAAUUCUUUAUUAUUUCUGUUAUUUAUAAUUGUUAAUAUUUUUUGUCUAUUGUUUUUUUAUUGUUUAGGGAUUAGUUAUUAUUAUUAUUAUUAUCGUCAUUAAUAUAUUAUUAUUUAUUAUUUAUUAUUUUUACUAUUUUUAUUUUUUAUUUUUUAUUUUUGUUAAUUAUUAUUAUUAAGUAUGGUUAUUGGUUAUCAUUGUUAUUGUUGAUUACUGACUAUUAUCAUGUUACCAUUUUUUAUGGAUUAUUAUUGUUAAGUAUUAUUAUGGAUUAUCAUUGUUUAUUUAUUUAUUAUUAUUGUUUUUAUUUUAUUUUUGUUAAAUAUUUUUGUUAAUUAUUAUUUAUUACUAUUAUUGUUAAUUAUUAUUAUUAUUAUUAUAGUUUAUUAUUAUUAUUAUUAUUAUUUAAUUGAUUAUUUUAAAAUUGCUAAAAAAAAUCGAUUUUAUUGUCCUGCCGGUUUUUCAUAGAUGCGUAGCAAUUUUGAAGUUAAAAUUCAAUUUAACUUCAGAAAUUGCUUACACGCAGAGAGUCUUGUUGACCGGCCUCAUAUAAGGUGAUUCCUACAUGAAUCGCCUUAUGAUUGCUUAAUAUAGCUAUAAAUUAUGUAAUUCAAUUUCUGAUUUUCACUUCGGGUCCCUUGGCUUUCUCUUGGGCCUUCUUACAACGAGAUUCUUUUAUUUUACAACUGUCUUUAAAAACUUGUAUCAUUUGAUUAUUGUAUUGUAUCCCCAUUCGAUAAACUGUAUCCCCAUUCCCGAAAUUGUGUAAUAAAUUUACUUCUUUCAUUUAUUUUUAUUGUAUCAGUUGAUUGUUAACAAGAGAUUAAAAUCAACCCUUUAAAGAAAAUAAAGAAACAAAUACGCGAUCCAACAUCGAGUAAUUUUCACAAAAGUUAGAACCAUUUCCAUAUCCAUU
rnacentral:lncRNA from 1 species